CCUACGGGAGGCAGCAGUGGGGAAUAUUGCACAAUGGGGGAAACCCUGAUGCAGCGACGCCGCGUGAGUGAAGAAGUACUUCGUUAUGUAAAGCUCUAUCAGCAGGGAAGAAAAUGACGGUACCUGAGUAAGAAGCCCCGGCUAACUACGUGCCAGCAACCGCUGUAAUACGUAGGGGGCAAGCGGUAUCCGGAUUUACUGGGUGUAAAGGGAGCGUAGACGGGAGUGCAAGUUUGGUGGGAAAGGCGGGGGCUCAAACCCCGGAUUGCUGUGGAAACUGUACGGCUGGAGUGCAGGAGAGGUAAGUGGAAUUCCUGGUGUAGCGGUGAAAUGCGUAGAUAUUAGGAAGAACACCAGUGGCGAAGGCAGCUUACUGGACUGUAACUGACGUUGAGGCACGAAAGCGUGGGGAGCGAACAGGAUUAGAUACCCGAGUAGUC
rnacentral:rRNA from 1 species